GGGCCUGUGGUCUAGUGGCUAUGUCAGAAACUUUUUAAAAAAGUUUCAUCAAAAGUUAAUAAAAAACUAGAAAUGUAGUAAACACAACUCUCACUCAGUUGAGGUCCCAGGUUCAAAUCCUGGCAGGCCCA
rnacentral:tRNA from 1 species